AGAAAAAUCAUCGGAAGUGAGUUAGGGUUUUAUCUGCCUUCUUCCUAAGUCGUCAUUAAACUUGAUUGUCUGAAAACAAGAACGAAAAUAAAGGAAUGGAAAACAAAAUGGAGUCAGAUGGAGGUGAAGCUGCUAGAAUCCUCAGCGAAAUUGAAACAUUAAAGGCUACGAGGAGCGACUUAGAUAAUCGAAUUUCUGCUCUCGAAGCUCAGCUCCGUCACUUGAAUUUUGAGAAAAACAACGUUUCCUGUCCUUCAAUAUCCACCGGCUUCGGUCACGGAUUAUCACCUGAUAUGAUAUACCGUUACAGUCGCCAGCUGCUGCUCCCCUCUUUCGGAGUUCAAGGUCAGUCAAAUCUGUUGAAGUCUUCGAUUUUAGUAGUUGGAGCCGGAGGGUUGGGUUCGCCUGCGCUGUUAUAUCUUGCAGCUUGUGGUGUUGGUCAAUUAGGUGUUGUUGACCAUGAUGUUGUUGAACUGAAUAACAUGCACAGGCAGGUUAUACACACAGAAGCGUAUAUUGGUCAGCCAAAAGUGAAAUCUGCUGCUGCUGCCUGUCGCUUGAUCAAUUCUACAAUUCAAAUUGUGGAACACCAAGAAGCUUUACGCACAUCCAAUGCUUUGGAAAUUCUGAGCCAAUAUGACAUAAUAGUAGAUGCAACAGACAAUGCUCCAAGUCGAUACAUGAUCAGUGAUUGUUGUGUGGUUUUGGGGAAGCCACUUGUUUCAGGCGCUGCACUGGGAUUGGAAGGGCAGCUCACAGUCUAUAAUCACAACAGAGGUCCAUGCUAUAGAUGCCUUUUUCCUACUCCUCCACCUACAACUGCAUGUCAAAGAUGUGCCGAUAGUGGAGUUCUUGGAGUGGUGCCUGGCAUCAUAGGCUGUCUCCAAGCAUUAGAGGCCAUUAAAAUUGCAAGUGCUGUUGGUGAACCACUAUCAGAACGGAUGCUUCUUUUUGAUGCCUUGUCAGCUCGAAUUCGUAUUGUCAAGAUCAGAGGUAGAUCAUUACAAUGUGAAGUAUGCGGAGAAAAUUCAGCUUUCACCCAGCAACAAUUUAAAGAUUUUGAUUAUGAGAAGUUCACUCAGUCUCCAUUGUCGGCGGCUCCCCUGAUGUUGAACCUGCUUCCAGAAGAUCACAGGAUACACAGCAGGGAGUUGAAAGAGAGAAUUGUUAAAGGGGAGGCUCAUGUGCUGGUAGACGUACGCCCUGCACACCACUUCAAGAUUGUUUCUCUUCCCAAUGCCAUGAAUAUCCCGUUAUCAAGUCUAGAGUCUAGGUUAGCUGAGAUCUCAUCAGCUUUAAAGGAAGAAGAAAAGCGGAAGGAUAGUGGCUUUGAAUCUGGUGCAAGUCUGUAUGUGAUAUGCAGACGAGGUAAUGAUUCACAGAGGGCUGUUCAAUUGUUGCACAAAGUGGGCUUCACUUCAGCCAGAGAUAUAAUCGGAGGUUUGGAGGCCUGGGCACGUGAUGUGGAUCCGAAUAUCCCUACCUAUUAGAAAACAUUUUAUUUUUUUGCCAUUAUUUUUGUAUGAUUGCUAUCAACUUCUCCCCUGCUGUUCGAAUUAACAUGAGCAGGGAAAUAUCAUUACAAGCAGUGAACUUUAGUGAAAGGGGUCGUGGAAGAGGCAGUCUUGGUCCUCAAAGAGAGUUGCUUGAUGAGGAUUUGUCGCCAGUUGUUAACAUGCUGGAAGGCGGUCUUGACGAUGAACCUGAUCCCGAAGAAACCCUUUUCAUGAAGCUGGACCGUGCAUGAGGUGGAUUGGAGGAGCGAUUAGCAUAGUGCCCUGAAUCUAAAUGGGGUUGGAAGUAGACUCGAGGGUACUGAUUUUCAAGAAAAGAUGCAUGAGGAAGAUUAUUCGGAUUGGGAAGUUGGCUUGGAGAAUUAGUGUGGAAACCAAUGGCUGAAAAUAAGGUGAUGUUUGUGAGGCUAAAAUUGAAAGGCACUGAACUUUAAUGGUGGAAGGGGGUCGAAGAGCAAUGUGUACCAAAUAAAAUUAAACAAAAAAACCAAAUUAAAAAAAAAAUACCAAAUAAAAAAACAAAAAAAUAUCCGGUUUGAUUUGAA